rnacentral:lncRNA from 12 species
UCUGGUUAUCAAUGUUGCUGUUUGUCUUGGAACUGCAGUUUUCCAUGAAAGAAAGCCUGAUUUAGUCAAGAUAAGUGAUCAAAACCAUCACAGAUUGCCAGAAUUCUUGAGGUUGACUGGAAAGUAAUUCUCCGAAGAGGUGGAAGAGCACGGUGCUGCUGUGCACCGGUGUCUGGCUGCUGCCCUGCUGGAGAUCCAUGAGCAACAACAGCACGAACCACAGUCAGAGCCUUCAUCUGGGCUGCAGCAACUGCUCUUGCUGUCAGAAGCAACCAGCUCCUGAACUGGGUCUUCCAAGGAAGCCAAAUAAUGAAGUGCCAUGGAGAACAAAUAUAUUUUGUGCUCCCUGAAGCAAUGUCUUCAGUGAGUUAGAGGAAACAGCUCUGUCCCAAAGAAGCCUCUAAGGCUGCAGCUUUUAUUUCAUCUGCUUUGAAGAUUUGUAUUUUCAGAGUUCUCAGGCUAUUAAGAUCGAAGCAAAUAACACAUGUAAAAGAAAAUAAUAAAAAUAAUUUUUUUUUCAUAAAUGCCUAAAUAAAGUUGGGAAGAACAACAAAUACCUAGAUGUUUGUCCAAUAUGAACACAAUCCAAAC